CAGCAGCCGCGGUAAUACGUAGGUCCCGAGCGUUGUCCGGAUUUAUUGGGCGUAAAGCGAGCGCAGGCGGUUAGAUAAGUCUGAAGUUAAAGGCUGUGGCUUAACCAUAGUACGCUUUGGAAACUGUUUAACUUGAGUGCAAGAGGGGAGAGUGGAAUUCCACGUGUAGCGGUGAAAUGCGUAGAUAUAUGGAGGAACACCGGUGGCGAAAGCGGCUCUCUGGUCUGUAACUGACGCUGAGGCUCGAAAGCGUGGGGAGCGAACAGGAUUAGAUACCCGAGUAGUCCCUGUCUCUUAUACC
rnacentral:rRNA from 1 species